rnacentral:rRNA from 1 species
ACGGGUGAGUAACGCGUGGGAAUCUACCGUACCCUACGGAAUAGCUCUGGGAAACUGGAAGUAAUACCGUAUACGCCCUAACGGGGAAAGAUUUAUCGGGGUAUGAUGAGCCCGCGUUGGAUUAGCUAGUUGGUGGGGUAAAGGCCUACCAAGGCGACGAUCCAUAGCUGGUCUGAGAGGAUGAUCAGCCACAUUGGGACUGAGACACGGCCCAAACUCCUACGGGAGGCAGCAGUGGGGAAUAUUGGACAAUGGGGGCAACCCUGAUCCAGCCAUGCCGCGUGAGUGAUGAAGGUCUUAGGAUUGUAAAGCUCUUUCAACGGUGAAGAUAAUGACGGUAACCGUAGAAGAAGCCCCGGCUAACUUCGUGCCAGCAGCCGCGGUAAUACGAAGGGGGCUAGCGUUGUUCGGAAUUACUGGGCGUAAAGCGCACGUAGGCGGGUAUUUAAGUCAGGGGUGAAAUCCCGCAGCUCAACUGCGGAACUGCCUUUGAUACUGGGUAUCUUGAGUAUGGAAGAGGUAAGUGGAAUUGCGAGUGUAGAGGUGAGAUUCGUAGA